rnacentral:telomerase_RNA from 1 species
CCUGGGGUGUGGGGCGAGAAAUGACACGUGGAAUGAUACCCUAAACCCGCCACUCUGUCCUUGUUAAAGGGCAGAGCACCAAACCAUUGGGGUCGUUUCCCGAUGUUUCCCUCGUGUGGUUAAACAAAGAAACGUUGAUGCCGCGCGUGUCAUUUCCCACGUGGAAAACCCCUCGAGAGGUUUGCAGGUGGUGCUGCUCGCCGGUUCAGGCGGUACGCGGUUACUGGUUUCCUCGCCUCUCCUGCACCCCCACAACAUUUU